CAUUAGGGAAACUUCAAGCCCCCCACGCCUUGCUCCCUAAGACUUUCGGUUGGAAAAGCAGCUGCUGAGUUCUUUUAUUUCCUCCCCCACCCCCACAAUCGGACUCUGUAAAAAUAGCCGUGCUCCGGGGCCACCGAGCCAAGCUCCGCCGCCCCGCUGUCCCGGGCCGGGUGUGGACCUAAAAAUACCCGGCGGCCUGGAGCCUGUGCUCCGGGUGCGGGAGGGUCCGGCCGGGCCGCAGAGGGCGUCUGGAGACCGGAGAAACGGCGGACGCCUGGCCCCUCGCCUCGGCCGGGGCUGUCCCUUUAAAUCCUGGAGGAGGCAAAGAGAAAAAAAGGAAAGAAAGAGAAAAGACGAGGAGCCCCAAGCUGAGGGUGGCUCUGCCCGGCCCCCCAUUCCGCCCCCCGCGCCGCGUCCUGACUGCCGCCCGCCGCCCCUGCGGGUCUUGGGCGCCCCGCCCGCCGCCACAGUUACUGUCAAAAUAGAAAUUAAUUGGAGCCGAGGAGGAGGGACAGACGGACCGCAGCUGCGGCGAAGGAGGACGCGAGGACCGCGGCCCGGCGCCAAGUGCGGGAGGCGCGCAGGUCGGGCGGCGCGCAGAGGUGAGUGGCUUCGCGUGCCGAGCUGAGGCAUCGCCUGCGAGGGUCGCGAUCUUCCCCGCACCUCGCUUGUGCCGAGGCGGGUCGGGGGGUCGCGGGGCUCCCAGAGGGGUGGCUUUACAUCGCUGGCGCCGGGGAGUCAUCUCCCGAGCUGUUGCUAGGAGGCCGGCGGUCCGCGCACCCUGGGGCGCUGGCGGGGGCAGGGGCGUCCCCGGCGCGGCGGGCAGGAGGCGGGGGGUUGCGGUGGCUAUUCAGGGGCUCCGUGCGGCAGCCAUGCAACGGGAGGAGGCGGGAGGAGGUGGGGGGGAGGGAGGAGGGGAGAGCCAGCGGAGAGCGAGCCAGAGAGCGGGCGCCGCGCCUCCUGGCUGGCACCGCGGCCCGGAGCGAAGUGGCGCGCGGGGCUGGAAGGGAACUUCUGCGGGCGCAUGCCUUCCCGAGCUCGGCGGCGCCUUCGGGCCCGGGCGGGGCGGGCCUGUCGACAGCCACAGGUGGUUUCUGCCAAAAGUUUUACCGCACUUCUGCCGGGAAGGCGCGGGGACGUUUUGGAUAGUGGCGGUUUCCUGAGACUCUGGCGCUCGCACUGAGCUCUUACCUUGAAGAUUAGGAAGGGACUGGGAAACCUGGGACCCCGCAUCUCGCGAUGCGCCGCCAGGACUUCCUAGAGAUGCCUGCUCGAGGUGAUGUCUUUGCAGGACCCUGAAACCCAUGCUGCUGUCCAGUUGGGAAGUUGCGCGAAAUGGGCGCACGCAACGAUUCCUCCGCGUCUGGGAAAAGUUAAGCGAGGGCCAGCCCGGUAUCUGUUGCCCGCAGAGGUCAACCCAAAGUCUCUUCUUAGAGACGCACAAAGGAACCCGGCACGCCUUCGCUCCUGGUCUGGGUCAUCUCCUGCUCCUUUGAGAGCUAACCGUCUUCCGGCCGCUGUGUUGCUUUGUUAUUAGGGCUGCUUCUCUGAUUUCGUUAGGAAGAGUGCCAGGAGGAACCCAAGAAAAGCGGAGCGGCAACAACUCUCAUUUCCUUUGAAUCCAGCCGCGGUGGCUGGUGUGGAGGGUCCAGGACCGAGGGGAAGCAGGAAUUGGUGGCGUGUACUGCCUGCCGAGGGAGCCUCGCUGGGCUGGGGUUUCUGGGGCCUCUGGGACGGAAAGAGGGAUGACAGUGGGAAGGGAAGACCCUCAGAAGAGGAAGCUGUGCCUUGGUCGGCUCUGGGAGAGAGGCUCCUCAAGAAGUCCAGUGGUUUGGCCCUGUUCCUCAUUGGCCAGGUUGAUGAAUCCAGGGCAGCGAGGUUAGCACCACCCGGGUAGGUCCAUUCCUGGCCUGAAAGAAAUCAUUAUCCCCAAAGAGUCUGAUACCCUGGUGUUGCAAGUCCGUACAGAACUGCAUGAGAGUUGGAAACACUCAGUCCUUCAUUCUGGCUGGUCCCGUUCCCACUCCCUGUUCCCCCCAGCCCCACCAAGUACCUGAACAGAAAGCACACCCUUUGCUGUAAAGGAAGUCACAGAAUUUUGGAGCUGAAGGCGGGGGUUGCGGUGGCUAUUCAGGGGCUCCGUGCGGCAGCCAUGCAACGGGAGGAGGCGGGAGGAGGUGGGGGAGGGAGGAGGGAGAGCCAGCGGAGAGCGAGCCAGAGAGCGGGCGCCGCGCCUCCUGGCUGGCACCGCGGCCCGGAGCGAAGUGGCGCG
ensembl:lncRNA